GUUUCUGUGGCCUAGUGGUUAUGGCAUCUGUCUUACAACAAAAUUGAAAGUUGAUCACAGAAGAUCCCCGGUUCGAUCCCGGGCAGGAACA